rnacentral:lncRNA from 1 species
CCACCAAGGAACUCUGGAUUUGCUUCAUUUUUGAAGAAUAAAAUGAUCCUGAAACUAAGUGAGCAAUUUGCGGGAGACAGGAAAGCACAGUCAAUUUUCAAUACGUAUCAUUUUCCCGAGGUGUUAUUUCCAAAUUACAUUUUAACUCAAGAGCUGGAAUCACUGGCAAAAAAAAAAAAAAAAUUGAAUUCAGGUAAUUAAGGCAUGUCACUGUCAAGGACAGGGAGGGGCAGGUGCUCACAGCAAGCUGCUGGCAAGCUGCUGUGGGGCUGUACCUGCCACUGCAAGGACAGGAAACAGAAGUGCAGGCAUCACCUGGGGUGCUUUCUCAGGGUAACUUAAGUCUCAAAGGUCACAAGAGAUGAAUCACAGGCAAGAGAGAGGCCUUCAGGGUCCUGCUUUCUCUUAGGAGCUAGAAGGACAUCUAUUCAGGGAACACUUCAAAGAACGCCAAGGGAUGAAAGGAAUCAAAUUAAAUACAAAAAUAAUUUUGAAGGUGGCACAAGAUGAAAGGAAUUUAACUUUUCAAAAGGUAAGACUUUAUACAGAAAUUAAGUUAAUUAUUUUUUUAUGUUCAGUUAUUCAUUUCAGAAAGAUAUUCACCAAGAUGCCUGUAAUUAGCUAGGCAUUCUAAUCUGAUAUAAACUAAUUGCAUUUUCUUUAUUAUAUUUUCGCAUGACUUUCCUGGACCCUGUUACUGUCAAUAAAAAAGGUAACUUUGUGGAGCACUGGACAAGAAAUACAAAGACUCUUUACAGUAUCUUUACUAAGCCAAGUGUUUUGCACUCUUCUCAAAAACUAACAGUACUUUGAGAACACUCUGCAGUUCAUCAAGCACAAAAUAAAGCAAUUCUGAAGUUUCCACAGUCUAAGAGUAUAAACACUCCCAGAUGGUUAUUUGAAAUAUUAAGCUACAUCACUAGUGUUAAUUAAAGAAAUGUGACCUCAUCAUUAUGUGUACAUAAUAAGACGGAGCAUACACCAUGGUCCUGUGUUGAAAGAAAUCAACUUUCUUCAAAUCAAGCUGUGAAUUUAACAACUCCACUUUAAAUACAAGAUUCCAAAAAAAGGCUCAAAGGUUUGCCUUCAAGUAAAAAUAUAUAAAAACUCAAAAGUUUGCAAAAUAAUGAGGAGCUAGCCUCAGCAGUAAUACGGAAAUAAAGGUAAUAGUACUUCACUCAUUAAAACAGUGGAUACUGGUACUCUUUACAAGGGUGAAGUGUAAAACAAAACAAAACAAAACAAAACUAAGAAUAUUCAAAAUACUAAAAGAAAAGCAGAUACUAACUAUAUAAUAGUUGGGGGGGGGAUGGAGAAGAUACAAAAAUGUUAAUAGAAUCAGGGGAAAAAAGACUUGACUAGUACAACACAGUAUUCUCCAUGUUAAAUAUAUGUACAAAGUUGAAAGACAAAAGAAACAAGCUAGGAAAAAAACUGCAACACAUCACAGAAGGACAAUCUUCCUGUUAAAAAGAUUAACACAGCAACAGAUUGCAGCACAGGCCAAAGCUUAUGAAUAUGUAAUUAACAACUAAAUGUAACUAGCAUUAAAUAUACGAACAACAUUCAAUGGAACUAGUAAUGGAAGGAAUAAAAAUAAACACAAAACAGCAAAAAGCCUGACACUUAGUAAAGGGAAAACUGGAGACCAUUAUACAAUGUUACGGGGGACCACGAUUAAACGCAAUCUUCCCACAGGGCGGUAUGUAUCAAAGUUUAAAGUGUGUACCAUUUCUGGCCCAAUCAUUCCUCUUUCAGAAUGUAAACUAAGGAGCUCACUGCUCAAAGAUGUAAGGGUAUGAAUUCAUCACAGUGUUGGCUGUAAUCUUGACAAACUGAAAAUAACCUCAAUGUCCAUCAAUAGUAACAAUGUAUAUCAGUAGCACAUAAGUGAAAAUGUCACGCAUCUAUUAAAAAUGAUGGAGACAGGGAACUAUAC